CAGUCCCACUGCAUUGCAGUCAUUUGUUCUGAAAUGCACAGGAAUCUUACUGAGGCUGUGUGUCUUUCAGUCCUGGCUGUGCAGGUUUGAUACGCUGCUGUGUCUGUCUGUCUGUCCUGACUGUGCAGGUUUGAUACACUGUCGUGUCUGUCCGUCUGUCCUGGCUCUGCAGGUCUGAUACACUGUUGUGUCUGUCUGUCUGUCCUGACUGUGCAGGUUUUAUUCGCUGCGGUGUCUGUCCGUCUGUCCUGAAUGUGCAGGCCUGAUACACUGUCGUGUCCGUCUGUCUGUCCUGACUGUGCAGGUUUGAUCCACUGCUGUGUCUGUCCGUCUGUCCUGACUGUCCAGGUUUGAUACGCUACUGUGUCUGUCAGUCCUGGCUGUGCAGCAUUUCCUAUGGGGAAAUUGGGCGCUACCUGUGGGGGGGCAGUCCCUAU